rnacentral:rRNA from 1 species
UACAGAGGGUGCGAGCGUUAAUCGGAAUUACUGGGCGUAAAGCGUGCGUAGACGGCUAUCUAAGUCGGGUGUGAAAGCCCCGGGCUCAACCUGGGAAUUGCAUUCGAGACUGAAUAGCUAGGGUACGGUAGAGGGAAGCGGAAUUUCCGGUGUAGCGGUGAAAUGCGUAGAUAUCGGAAGGAACAUCAGUGGCGAAAAGCGG